AACCGGGGCUGUUAUCUUUAUCGGCGGAUUGGAAGGUCCGUGUUGGCUGCCAAAGUAUUUUGUUCCUUCAUACCUCUCCAGGUGUCACUAUGACCGCCGUAGAAUUGCACGUGUUGCGGUCGGCCGCUUUGAGAAAUAUUCUAAUUCCCAUGAGUUUGGCCAGUGUCGGUCGUUGUAUGAAGCCGCGUAGUUCGGCAGUAAAGCGUGCCUUUCAAACAAACAUGUCUUACACCACGGUUGAGAAGGGAACACCAAACACGACCAAUUACAGGAUAUAUUUCAAAAAUGACAAAGGGCCAGUUUCUCCGUUACACGACAUACCGUUGUACGCUGAUGAGGCAAAAAAGAUAUUCAAUAUGGUAGUAGAAGUGCCACGAUGGACGAAUGCCAAGAUGGAGAUAAGCUUGAAAGAAACACUAAAUCCAAUCAAGCAGGAUGUAAAGAAAGGAAAACUUAGGUUUGUUGCAAAUUGUUUCCCGCAUCACGGCUACAUUUGGAACUACGGAGCCAUUCCGCAGACGUGGGAAAAUCCUGAGGUAUUGGACGAAGCAACAGGCUGCAAAGGUGAUAAUGACCCUAUAGAUGUCCUGGAAAUUGGAUACAAAGUAGCCAAGCGUGGUGAAGUCUUGAAAGUCAAGGUGCUUGGUACCGUCGCACUAAUCGAUGAAGGUGAAACUGACUGGAAAAUUCUUACCAUCGAUAUCAAUGAUCCCCUGGCUGACCAGUUAAACGAUGUUAAUGACAUCGAGAAACAUUUCCCUGGGCUACUAAAGGCGACUAUAGAAUGGUUUAAAAUAUAUAAGAUUCCUGACGGUAAACCAGAAAAUCAAUUUGCUUUCAAUGGAGAAGCAAAACCUAAGGAUUUCGCAUUACAUAUCAUUGACGAAGUGCAUCAGCAUUGGCAAAGCCUUAUAAAAAAAGAAGCACCAGCUGGUGGUAUUGCUUGCACCAACGUAAGCAUAGAAGGCAGUCCUUUUAAAACUACUGUUGGUAGUAUGGAGGAAGUACUUGCCAAGGCUCCUGAAGCUGGAGAUGCACCGCCCAUUGACAGUUCUGUGCAUAAGAGUUAUUUCGUGAAAGUCGAAGAAUUGAAAAACAAAUUAUAAUAUUUUAUAACUUUGCUGUCGGUGUUCCCGAAUUACUUAUAUCUUCACGUUUGUUACCUAGUGUAAAAAAAAAAGAAAACUUUGAUUUGAUAAGUGGCAUUACAUACAUUUGAAGUGAAGCAUGGAAGGUUCAUCUCCGAUGUUGUUUCCACUUUGCAAAAUGAUGCCUCGAUGGAUUUCAAAUGUUGACGUAAUUCCUUGCAGAUUUCUAAUUCACUAGAAUGUUCUAUGCGGAAAAAGUUUCAGCAUAAGACAAUCUCAAUGUACCUCUAUAUUGACUGAAAAGUCUAAAUUGUGAAAAAAUUUAUGCAUAUUGUUACUAGCUGCUUGUAUCAUAACACAACACCACUUCCCCACACUAGCUCAUUCAUUCACAUUUGAUUACCUUACUAGUGGAGAGUUUAUUAUUACUCAAGUACUACAGAUAUUUUUUCUAUCAUUUGUUUCAACGACGGUUAAUGAUUAUUUAUUUAUUUCAGUAUAAUUGUGGGAUCAGGAUAGGAUAGAGUGUCUGUGUCUAACAGUCAUUCGUUUCCAUUAGGUUAGCUAUUCCUUUAUUGAAUAUCAUACGAUAUUUGUCUUAUAUAAAUAAAUAAACUCCGUUAUUCCAAGUA